GAUGAACGCUGGCGGCGUGCCUAAUACAUGCAAGUCGAGCGAACGGACGAGAAGCUUGCUUCUCUGAUGUUAGCGGCGGACGGGUGAGUAACACGUGGAUAACCUACCUAUAAGACUGGGAUAACUUCGGGAAACCGGAGCUAAUACCGGAUGAUAUUUUGAACCGCAUGGUUCAAAAGUGAAAGACGGUCUUGCUGUCACUUAUAGAUGGAUCCGCGCUGCAUUAGCUAGUUGGUAAGGUAACGGCUUACCAAGGCAACGAUGCAUAGCCGACCUGAGAGGAUGAUCGGCCACACUGGAACUGAGACACGGUCCAGACUCCUACGGGAGGCAGCAGUAGGGAAUCUUCCGCAAUGGGCGCAAGCCUGACGGAGCAACGCCGCGUGAGUGAUGAAGGUCUUCGGAUCGUAAAACUCUGUUAUUAGGGAAGAACAUAUGUGUAAGUAACUGUGCACAUCUUGACGGUACCUAAUCAGAAAGCCACGGCUAACUACGUG
rnacentral:rRNA from 1 species